rfam:Brassica napus, WGS project CCCW01000000 data, contig: 11139
AUUGGAUCAAUGAUUUUAGUUAAUUAAACUGCGUUAUCUAUCUGCAAUUCUCCUCUUUCUAGGAGUUUGAAGAAAACCAUUAAAACCUGAGAUCCAGU